rnacentral:rRNA from 1 species
GAUGAACGCUAGCGGCAGGCCUAACACAUGCAAGUCGAGGGAGAAGCCCUUUCGGGGGCAGAAACCGGCGCACGGGUGCGUAACGCGUAUGCAACCUACCUUUCACAGGGGGAUAGACCGAAGAAAUUUGGAUUAAUACCCCAUAAUAUUAUUGGAUGGCAUCAUUUGAUAAUUAAAACUGCGGUGGUGAAAGAUGGGCAUGCGUCCUAUUAGCUAGUUGGAGUGGUAACGGCACCCCAAGGCUACGAUAGGUAGGGGUCCUGAGAGGGAGAUCCCCCACACUGGUACUGAGACAGGGACCAGACUCCUACGGGAGGCAGCAGUGAGGAAUAUUGGUCAAUGGUCGGAAGACUGAACCAGCCAUGCCGCGUGCAGGAAGAAUGCCUUAUGGGUUGUAAACUGCUUUUAUAUGGGAAGAAUAAGGCGUACGUGUACGUUGAUGACGGUACCAUAUGAAUAAGCAUCGGCUAACUCCGUG